UGUGUAGGCGGUCUUCUAAGUUUGGUGUGAAAUCUCCCGGCUCAACUGGGAGGGUGCGCCGAAAACUGGGAGGCUAGAGUACUGGAUGGGAGAGUGGAAUUCCUGGUGUAGCGGUGAAAUGCGUAGAUAUCAGGAGGAACACCUGUGGUGUAGACGGCUCUCUGGACAGUAACUGACGCUGAGACACGAAAGCGUGGGUAGCAAACA
rnacentral:rRNA from 1 species